UACGAAGGUCCCAAGCGUUAUCCGGAUUUAUUGGGUUUAAAGGGUGCGUAGGCGGCUUAUUAAGUCAGUGGUGAAAGCCCCAAGCUUAACUUGGGAGCUGCCAUUGAUACUGAUGAGCUUGAGUAGAUUUGAGGCGGGCGGAAUGUGUCGUGUAGCGGUGAAAUGCUUAGAUAUGACACAGAACACCAAUUGCGUAGGCAGCUCGCUAAACUCUUACUGACGCUGAGGCACGAAAGCAUGGGGAUCAAACAGG
rnacentral:rRNA from 1 species